AAUAGAAUAUUAGGGUAUAAUUUAUUUAAAUUUCUAUUUUCAAAAGCAUUUUUAAACUUAGUAAAGGUGAUUGAAAGUUAUUAUAUUUACACCCCAGAAAAGUACUGUGAAGGAAUAAAAAAUAAGUUAUAUAAAAGAAAAAAUUAAAUUUUGUACCUUUUGCAUCAUGGUUUAACUAGAUACUUAUUUUAAAUUUAAAUUUCUCGAAAUCUAGUGAGUUAUCUUUAUCCAAUCUGUUAGGACAAUAGAGUAGUUGUGGCAAAAACUUUCUUAGAGGUAAAGAUGGAAAUGAAAUUUUAUUCGCACUAGAUGAUAGCUAGUUCUUCUAAAAGGCAUAUAAGUGCUUUAGACUAAUCUCUAUUUUACCAUAAUACGUAAAAUAAGCUUUAGUAUAGUUAAGUUCUGGAGGAUAAGCUCGGGAACUGAAUUCUAAUUUGCACAGUAUUUUUACUAAAAUUUAAGCUUGAAAAUAGCUAUAAUUCUGAUUUUGUUACAAUUUCAUUAAAUAGUUAAAAAAAUAAUUAAUUUGCUUAUUGAUAAAUGAAGAAAACUUAAUAACUAAAGUAAGCUGAAUCUAUGUUAAAAUGAGUAUUAAAAAUUUUAUAACUUUUUAGUAUAUAUAACUAAAAACAAGUAUUUAUAUGUAAAACUUAAAUUAUAAUAAGGAACUCGGCAAAAUAAUGUUCUGCCUGUUUAGCAAAAACAUGGCUCUCUGUGAAAAAAAAAUAGCGAGUCGGACCUGCCCAGUGAAUUUUUUUAACGGCCGCGGUACUCUGACCGUGCAAAGGUAGCAUAAUCAUUUGCCUUAUAAUUGAAGGCUAGUAUGAAUGGUUUGACAAGAAUGUAGCUGUCUCAUUAUAAUUGAAUAGAAUUUUAUCUACAGGUGAAGAAGCCUGUUUAACAUUAAAAGACAAGAAGACCCUAUCGAGCUUUAAAGAAAUUAAUAGACUAUAAUCUAUAUCACUAAAAGAUUAGCUAUUAAAAAUUUUAGUUGGGGCGACCUGGGAACAUAAAAAGCUUCCUUUUUCACACAAAUUAACAGGUGUCGAUCCAAAAUUUUUGAUUAAAGAAAUUAGUUACCGUAGGGAUAACAGCAUUAUCUUUUUUGAGAGUUCAUAUCGAAAAAAGGGUUUGUGACCUCGAUGUUGGACCAGAAUAUCCUAAAGAUGCAGCAGUCUUUAAGGGUUGGUCUGUUCGACCAUUAAAAUUCUACGUGAUCUGAGUUCAGACCGGCGUAAGCUAGGUCAGUUUAUAUCUUUAAUUUUUUAAGUAGAUUUAGUACGAAAGGACCAAUUUACUGUAUUUUUUUACUAUAAAAUGAUAUAAUAUAAUAUAUAAUUUAAAUU
rnacentral:rRNA from 1 species